AUUGAACGCUGGCGGCAGGCCUAACACAUGCAAGUCGAGCGGCAGCGGAAGGAAGCUUGCUUUCUUGCCGGCGAGCGGCGGACGGGUGAGUAAGGUAUGGGGAUCUGGCCGAAGGCGGGGGAUAACCACUGGAAACGGUGGCUAAUACCGCAUAAUCUCUAAGGAGCAAAGUGGGGGACCGUUCAGGCCUCACACCUUCGGAUGAACCCAUAUGAGAUUAGCUAGUAGGUGGGGUAAUGGCUCACCUAGGCGACGAUCUCUAGCUGGUCUGAGAGGAUGAUCAGCCAAACUGGGACUGAGACACGGCCCAGACUCCUACGGGAGGCAGCAGUGGGGAAUAUUGCACAAUGGGCGCAAGCCUGAUGCAGCCAUGCCGCGUGUAUGAAGAAGGCCUUCGGGUUGUAAAGUACUUUCAGUCGUGAGGAAGGUGUUAAGGUUAAUAACCUUAGCAAUUGACGUUAGCGACAGAAGAAGCACCGGCUAACUCCGUGCCAGCCGCCGCGGUAA
rnacentral:rRNA from 1 species